GAACGAACAACAAACAGGACGGUUGGAUUAUUGCAUCAUAAUUUUCGUCAGAGAUUUUCGACGUGUUUUUGGACGUGUUUCGAGAAAUCAACUUAAUCAACGAAUCCUUGGACGAAUGACGGAUGGUUUGCAAGGCUUGCACCGUGUCCCGCCCUAAUCUGUCUGCACAUGUACAGGAAGGGAUUCCAAGCUUGGACAACCGGGACAACCGAACUGAACCUUUGCCGCGCAGCAUGCAGCGUGAUGUCUUUUGGUGCUAUUUUUCGCUGACAUGGAAUGGAAGAGACGGCUGGAUGCGACUCCAGAGACGUAAAACAACAAUUUGAUAGAAACAAUUGAAAAUGCUAAAUACUGCGGACCACACGAAGGAAGAAUGAGUGUGGUAACUUGUGUGUUUGAUAGCUAUUUUGUUGUUAUAUUUGUGUGCCUAAAUUGAGACUUAAUUUAAGGUUCAAAUUUAAGAUUUCACUGAUUUUAACCAGAUGUUUAAGCCAGGCGAGUGAAUGCCAGCAUUUGUUUGCAAGCGUUAACUUAGCUCUUUUUCAAGUCAUUUUCAAUUUAUGGCUAUAUAAUAGCUCGAGAGUGUUUAUAUAUGUACUAAUGAAACACUUAAGUUUUUUUUUAAUUUUUGAUGUUGGAUUUUAAAAUUGAAAGUUCUUCAAAUUUUAAGUGGAAGAAAUGUGUUUUAAUACACUUCAAUAGUUUUCCUUUGUUACUUUAAUUAUUUUCGUCAAUUCAGCCAGUUAAAACCAGGUUUUGAUCGAAUUAAUUUUCAAAAAACGUCAUUUUUAAGCGCUGAAAUUUGCACCACACAUUCAUUGUUGAUGUUUGCAACAAUUUAAAUUCCCAAAAUUAUAUAUGCGAAUAGUUUUAUUAAAUCAUAUUUAGUUGAUGUUGGCAAUCUCUACGCAGGUAAUUCCGUCAGGUUAUAUUUUGAAUUUAAUAUUCUCUGAUAGUCAUUGCUAGGCAUUUGCGAAUGGCUUAUUAUUUGUUCGAAGUCUCAGCAACAGCAACUUUCGAUGUUAUUUACUUUCAAAUGUGGUUUUGGACUCAAUCCUGCUGCUGUGCAUUCUGGACUUCAAAUAAUUGAUUUUAGUAUGCUGAAAACCAAAAUCAGUUCAGCCAGUCACCGUGGAAACGUAAAGAUAAAUUUUUUUAUCAAUUUACUGACGUUUCAACGGUGAUUGGCUAGACUGAUUUUUGGUUCCAGCUCAUCAAAUAAAAUCAUUUUAAGGGUUGUUCACACAGCAGCAGGAUUGUGUCCUAAAUCUUAGUUAAAUCGCAUUAAAAUAAUACUACGUAACAGCUGUACCCAUUUAUAUUGGGAGACCAAAAGGGCCAUUCGCAACUGGUGAAUUUGUGCAGAAUCAUGCAAUUUUCCAAAAUUAUUUAACAUGUUGCUGCAUUAUUAUUAUUAAAAAUUAUUAUUAUUAUUGCCUUUCAAAAAUUAUUUGUAAUUACAAUUUUGGCGAUUAUGUCAUCAAUUUAUAAGAUUUCAGUUUUCCGUGGUGAAUCUGACGCGGUAUUUUGGCGACGAAAAUCUAAAAUACAAUUAUAUUUGCUUAUCCUGUUCAUGGAAGGUGGACUGAAACUUUUACUGCGUUGAUAUUACCUUGAAAUCUUCACUAAUAAACCUAGUUUUCGACCCACAAUUUUUUUUUUACCAAAAAAUUCGCAAGUUGAAGGUCAAGGCCACCUUUUGCGACCUUUUUUGAAAUAAAAUAUUAAGGGAUGAUAGACCUCUUAGAUUUUUCGGGGUUGAGGGCUGAAAUGUAGCCCUUGAAAUUCUGCACAAGCUCACCAAGUUUCAACAAUGUGCAACAAUAGUUUUGCUUUAAUUUGAAUAAAUUAAAAACCGACUCGAGGCCGCUCGAUCGAGCAUGGCCUUAAGUCGGCGAGUUCGCCGAUCAUUCUUCGAUAAUACUUUUACCCAUUCCAUUUGAUUAGAUACAACAAGAGGACCCAUGAUUGACAUAGUAAGGUCAAAAUCGACCUUCAGGGUCUCGUCAGGUACAGACACUGAAGGUCGAUUUCGACCUUAAUAUGUCUACACUGGGCCCUCUUGUUGUGGAUUAUCCAAUGCAAUGGGUAAAAAUAUUAUAGACGAAUGAUCGGCGAACUCGCCGACUUAAGGCCAUGCUUGAUCGAGCGGCCUCGAGUCGGUUUUUAAUUUAUUCAAAUUAAAGCAAAACUAUUGUUGCACAUUGUUGAAACUUGGUGAGCUUGUGCAGAAUUUCAAGGGCUACAUUUCAGCUCUGAACCUCAAAAAAAAUCUAAGGGUUGUAUCAUCCCUUGAUUUUGAAUUUUUGAGUUAAGGUCGCAAAAGGUGACCUUGACCUUUGCCCUGCGAAUUUUUUGUAGGUUGAUAAGUUGUUCAUGGUGGAAAACUAGGAUAUAAAAUGAAAAUUUCAAGGUGAUAACUUAACCCAGUAAAGAGUUACAGUCCACCCUUCAUUCACAUAAUUUGAUUUUCGGGGAUUUUUAAAAAUAGAGAUCUUCAAAUUUGAUGUAUAAAAUGUAUUAAUUAAUUGUACUUUAAUUGUUGUAUGAAUAUCAUCCAAUAAAAGUGCUGCCCAUCUAGCUGCCCACUGAAGGUAACCGCAGGCGGGUACCAAAUGGUUACCUUUUGGCUACCUCUUACCUCGGGCUGUCAUUUUGCGCUAUACUCAAAUUUAACUUUUUUAAUGAACAGAGUCAAUUGACCUGCCACCAGUGCCACCUGACAGCCCUAGAUAAAAGGUAGCCAAAAGGUAACCAUUGGCUGCCCACUGGUGGUAACCUCAGCCGGGCACCCGAUGGUUAGCUUUUGGUCAACGAA